GCCUCUAAGAAGACAGAUCAGGCCAAGGACACAUGCUGGAGAGGAAGGAGCCCAGGAACAUGGUGAGCUGUCCAAGCCAGGAAGAAGAAACAGCCCUGAGCUUCUGUAGGAACAUCACAGUCUGGCCACCAGCGAUACUAAGAAGUGGACUCGGGGUCCUGUUUCCUUGGAAGCUGCCAAGUUAAGAUAAGAGUGGAAUGCUGUGUCCAAACCCCUUAGGGCCUGGUUUGGAAACCAAAGCUGCUUCCUUGUGUCAAAGUGACCCACGGGCUCGGCGCCUCCGGGCAAGAGCUGCUGCGCAUUCCCACUGAGGGACGCAGACAGCAGAGCUGCUCAAGUCUGGGAUGUGAGGAAACACAGUUUCCCAGGACACCGUAACUGACGCCCGUGAACGAAAGCAGUUGUU
rnacentral:lncRNA from 1 species